UACGUAGGGGGCGAGCGUUGUCCGGAAUUACUGGGCGUAAAGCGCGCGUAGGCGGCUUGGUAAGUCGGUUGUGGAAGCCCCGGGCUCAACCCGGGAAUUGCGACCGAAACUGCUGAGCUAGAGUGCGGUAGGGGGUGCUGGAAUUCCUGGUGUAGCGGUGAAAUGCAUAGAUAUCAGGAGGAACACCGGUGGCGAAGGCGGGCACCUGGGCCGCCACUGACGCUGAGGCGCGAAAGCUAGGGGAGCAAACCGG
rnacentral:rRNA from 1 species